rnacentral:rRNA from 1 species
GUGUAAGCGUAGCGAUACGUUGAGCUAACCAGUACUAAUGACCCGAGAGGCUUAACCUUACAACACCGAAGGUGUUU